rnacentral:rRNA from 1 species
UACGUAGGAGGCAAGCGUUGUCCGGAAUUACUGGGUGUAAAGCGCGUGUAGGUGGUGGGCCAAGUCUGUGGUGAAAUCGCCCGGCUCAACUGGGCGAGGUCCGUGGAAACUGGUCGACUGGAGUACUGCAGGGGAGACUGGAAUUCCUGGUGUAGCGGUGGAAUGCGCAGAUAUCAGGAGGAACACCGGUGGCGAAGGCGGGUCUCUGGGCAGUAACUGACGCUGAGGAGCGAAAGCGUGGGGAGCGAACAGG